rnacentral:miRNA from 1 species
GCAGACACAUUCCAGCCAAUCAGCAGCAGACCCUCCCUCCCAGACCCUUCCACCUCCUGGACAGCAUCCAUUUUGAAGCUGCAUUCUUAGUGAGCUGUCCAGGAGUUGGGAGGGUCUGGGAGGGAGGGUCUGCUGCUGAUUGGCUGGAAUGUGUCUG